UACAGAGGGGGCAAGCGUUGUUCGGAAUUAUUGGGCGUAAAGGGCGCGUAGGCGGCCUUCUAAGUCGAACGUGAAAUCCCUGGGCUCAACCCAGGAACUGCGUCCGAUACUGGAAGGCUUGAAUCCGGGAGAGGGAUGCGGAAUUCCAGGUGUAGCGGUGAAAUGCGUAGAUAUCUGGAGGAACACCGGUGGCGAAGGCGGCAUCCUGGACCGGUAUUGACGCUGAGGCGCGAAAGCCAGGGGAGCAAACGGG
rnacentral:rRNA from 1 species